AUUGAACGCUGGCGGCAUGCCUAACACAUGCAAGUCGAACGGCAGCACGGUUGCUUGUUGCUGGUCGCGAUUGGCGGACGGGUGCGUGAGACGUAGGCACCGGUCCCUUGUUUUUGGUGAGGCAUACGGAAGCGGGAGUUACUCCGCUAUCGCAUCACCGCUUCGAGUGGGGGACGUGGAUCUUUCGAGCUUUCGCGUUUGACGACGGCGGAUUAGCUAGUUGGUGGGGUAAAGGCCUACCAAGGCGACGAUCAGUAGCUGGUCUGAGAGGACGAGCAGCCACACUGGGACUGAGACACGGCCCAGACUCCUACGGGAGGCAGCAGUGGGGAAUUUUGGACAAUGGGCGAAAGCCUGAUCCAGCAAUGCCGCGUGUGUGAAGAAGGCCUUCGGGUUGUAAAGCACUUUUGUCCGGAAAGAAAUGCUUGGCCCUAAUACGGUCGGGGGAUGACGGUACCGGAAGAAUAAGCACCGGCUAACUACGUG
rnacentral:rRNA from 1 species